GGCGCUGGAUGUGAUCGUGGAUGUGCUCGAGCUCAUUUUAAAGCCGUUCAUUUCUGCACGCUGCGGUGAGCUGUCAGCCCGCAGAAGAGAAACAACACGGCUCUGAUUUAACGAACUGCUAGCGGAUUUAAUGUUCUGUCUUGAUUUUUAUUCCUGUUAAUUGUAUAGAGGAUAGGUUUGUUUUCAUGCGCCGCUACGCUCGCAGGCUGAAUGCGAGUGUCCGUCAGGAAGGAGGAGCCACCGGACAUCCGAUAAGGAACUACGAGCUUCAUUGAACAGGGACUGGAAGCCUGUUUUUCCACUAUGACUGCCCUCAGGCAGAGGAAGGGCAGUAGAGGGAAGGACCCGGGGCCCAGCAUUCAGAACCUGAAGACUGAUUGUAUAGCUGAACCCAGACAGAGGUUUGCAACAGGUGGUUUCUCAUGGUGGACAAUCUUGUGUGUAAUGACUGGAUCAAUAGUGGGAGUUAGUCUUGGCUUGCUGUGCUGCAUCUAUGUGUCUACACUUCAUGAAAAUGACCUCUGGUUCUCCAAUAUAAAGGUAAA